AAUCUGUGAGGGGACACCGUUCUCGGUGACAGAGGAUAUAGACUUCUAAGAUUUCCAUUUAGACCCACAUAACCCGCUAGUUCUUCCAAUGUCGGUGUGAGCUCGAAGUCAUAGAAGUGGAACACAUUGCAAGUUGUGUCCCAAAAUGGUAUUAAGCCUUAAAUUAUGUCUGAACUUGGCUUGAUGUUUAAUAAACGGAUGAGGCCUCCCAAAACUCUUGUCACUGUUUCCCUACUACCUUUUCCCAAUUUAUC
rnacentral:lncRNA from 1 species